rnacentral:rRNA from 1 species
UCGCCAAAUAACUACGAGUAAAAACUUAAAAUUUAAAAGACUUGACGGUAUCUCACAACAACCUAGAGGAGCCUGUCCAAUAACCGAUACCCCACGAUUAAACCAACCCCCCCUGGCCCAACAGUCUAUAUACCGCCGUCGCCAGCCCACCUUGUGAAAGAAACAAAGUGAGCCAAACAGUCACACACUAACACGACAGGUCGAGGUGUAACUUAUGGGGGGGAACAGGAUGGGCUACAUUUUCUAACACAGAACAUACGAACAGACUAUGAAACAAGAAACUGAAGGCGGAUUUAGCAGUAAACCAAGAACAAAACACUUAGUCGAAACCAAUGCAAUGAGAUGCGUACACACCGCCCGUCAUCCCUGUAAACUAAACAUAAAAAUUCAUAAACACACAACAACUACAAAACAGGGCAAGUCGUAACAAGGUAAGUGUACA